AGCAUUUUAUACCAGCACUUUGAGGAUGAAGAAGGGAGGGACAGAGGAGCAAAUAAAGGAGUGACACAGCAAAAGGAGGGGAAAAAAGAGGAAGUUGUAAAAUGACAACAAACAUCAAGGAGCCCCACUUGACCACCGGGGUGAGAGGAUGGAGACUGUGGGUCACAGAAAGCCAGAGCAGGGGCAGCGUGCCAGAGGCUGGAGAUGGUAGCAGGAAUGCUAAUGGAGCCAUAACCACCACUAAUACCUUUAACAGCAUCCUGGCAGAGCUCCUCAAGCCAGGCCUCUUAAUCUCAGUUCUGGAAGCUGGCUUAUUUCCUUGACCCACCACCCUUCCUCUUUGUCGUCACUUGAGUAGCUGAUGUGCGACGCCAACAACAGUGGAUUACAGUGGACUAACAGAUUUUAUGAUUUCCUGAAUAAAUCUGUAAAAGUCUCUUAUUUGGUCAUGAGGAGAAAAAGUGACCAAUUUCAGGUCCAUUUGGACAUGGAGUGACACGUAAAUUCUGUAUAGACAUUCUGUACGUUCCCCCGAGCGUGGAGUGUAUGUGAGUAUGUCAAAUGUGCAUUAAUACAUGUGUGUGUGUUAUUUUUUUGAAGUCUGUUCUGUUAAAGCGUUGCAUAUGUAGACCAAUAAAACUUUUGUGUAGGGUUUAAUUUUUGUUGAUUUUACAAUUUUAAUGUU
rnacentral:lncRNA from 1 species